GGAUGGAUGAUGACUCCUUCGUAUGCAUUCCUUGGUAAAUCUGAACAAAAUAAGUGAGAAUGCUCUACCAUCUCCUCAUCGAAACUGAGGUCC
ensembl:snoRNA SNORD116 Small nucleolar RNA SNORD116